rnacentral:rRNA from 1 species
UCAAGAAACUUCCACAAUGGGCGAAAGCCUGAUGGAGCGACGUCGCGUGAUGGACGAAGUGCUUCGGCACGUAAACAUCUUUUAUGUGGGAUGAAAUUAUUGACAGUACCACAUGAAUAAGGGGCUCCUAACUCUGUGCCAGCAGGAGCGGUAAUACAGAGGCCCCAAGCGUUAUCCGGAAUCACUGGGCGUAAAGGGUGUCGAGGCGGUUGUAUUAGUCGUUCGUAAAAUCUACGAGCUUAACUUGUAGGCGGCGAACGAAACGGUACGACUUGAGGUUUGGAGAGGUGCGUGGAACUCACGGUGUAGCGGUGAAAUGCGUAGAUAUCAAGAGGAACACCUGAGGCGAAGGCGGGUUGCUGGGCUGAUACUGACGCUGAAGCGCGAAAGCUAGGGUAGCAAACGGGAUUAGAUACCCUAGUAGUCCCUGAGCGGGCUGGCAAGGCGCAU